AGCGUACCUACAUAUUCUUUCUUCUGUUUUUGGAGAGUACUUGUUCGGCUUUUGUUUUAAUAUAGCUCCCCAUCCUAUUUCAGAUGCAUCUGUCUCUAUUAUAAAAUAAUAGUCAUCUAAAGGUCAUUAUCAUCAGCUCCUUGGAGUUCUAAAUUGGACUUUCCGGUAUUGGAACUUAUAGUCUUACGUACUUCUGUUAUGUAUGGGAUAUUAUCUUGAUAAGGAAUAAAUGUAAUUCCUUGCUCAUGUAUGAUCGUUGUUUGCAACGAAAAUUGUAAAAACCUUAGUCCUAAGAUCAUAUCAUCAUGUAUCAUAGAUAGGUCUCUUAUUGUAAUCUCAUCCAUAAUAUAUUUAGUAUUAUUUAUUUGUACCUCAA